rnacentral:misc_RNA from 1 species
AACUGAUACUACCUGCGGGAACCUGCGGAAGGAUCAUUACCGAGUGCGGGCCCUCUGGGUCCAACCUCCCACCCGUGUUUAUCGUACCGUGUUGCUUCGGCGGGCCCGCCCCCCGGCCGCCUGAGGACCCCCCGGGGCCCCGGGCCUGCGCCCGCCGAAGACACCCUCGAACCCUGUCUGAAGGUUGCCGUCUGAGUACACUAGUUAAAUGUUAAAACUUUCAGCAAUGGAUCUCUAGAU